rnacentral:rRNA from 1 species
GUAACAAGGUCUCCGUUGGUGAACCAGCGGAGGGAUCAUUACUGAGUUUACGCUCUAUAACCCUUUGUGAACAUACCUAUAACUGUUGCUUCGGCGGGUAGGGUCUCCGCGACCCUCCCGGCCUCCCGCCUCCGGGCGGGUCGGCGCCCGCCGGAGGAUAACCAAACUCUGAUUUAACGACGUUUCUUCUGAGUGGUACAAGCAAAUAAUCAAAACUUUUAACAACGGAUCUCUUGGUUCUGGCAUCGAUGAAGAACGCAGCGAAAUGCGAUAAGUAAUGUGAAUUGCAGAAUUCAGUGAAUCAUCGAAUCUUUGAACGCACAUUGCGCCCGCCAGCAUUCUGGCGGGCAUGCCUGUUCGAGCGUCAUUUCAACCCUCAAGCUCUGCUUGGUGUUGGGGCCCUACAGCUGAUGUAGGCCCUCAAAGGUAGUGGCGGACCCUCCCGGAGCCUCCUUUGCGUAGUAACUUUACGUCUCGCACUGGGAUCCGGAGGGACUCUUGCCGUAAAACCCCCCAAUUUUCCAAAGGUUGACCUCGGAUCAGGUAGGAAUACCCGCUGAACUUAAGCAUAUCAAUA